CACGUAGGGGACGAGCGUUGUCCGGAUUCAUUGGGCGUAAAGCGCGCGUAGGCGGCUCGGAAAGUCGGUCGUGAAAUGCCGGGGCUCAACCCCGGGACUGGCGUCCGAUACUCCCGAGCUGGAGGCAGGUAGGGGAGAUCGGAAUUCCUGGUGUAGCGGUGAAAUGCGCAGAUAUCAGGAGGAACACCGGUGGCGAAGGCGGAUCUCUGGGCCUGUACUGACGCUGAGGAGCGAAAGCGUGGGGAGCGAACAGG
rnacentral:rRNA from 1 species